UUCUAAGAUGUAUGCAAACAGGGAACAUAUCGCCAAACCAACAAUUAAUUUGACCAAAACCUCACAAUAUAUCAUCAUUUGUAUGCACAGAUUGGAUGCAUUGUGUGUUGUAAGCUUUUCGUGGCGCUAGAUGUCAGACAGAUGCAAAUGGCAAAUACAUAUGAAAGUGUAAAACGUGUAUGGCGAACAUUUGUUUUUCUGUCAUUAUAGAUGCUAGUUUGGUGAAAGUACACACUGAGUGCUUCAAAUCAUUCAGAAGAGAUGCUGUUUUUAGGGCAGUUUAUUAAAGAAGACCUGACAUGGAUGACUUCCAAUGAGAAACGACUGCUAAUACUUAUAUAAAUUCAUUACAGAAGGACCCUACCAGACUAUAUUUGAAUACGGCAUACCCAUGAAUUCUGGAACUGUUAUUCCUUAAUCCAGUUUGGAGGAUAAGAGCUUACCAACUAGUUAUAAAUAUGCUGAGGUGAUGUAUUGCAAAAUAGCCAACAUACAACAAUAUGGAUGACCCUCUGUCUGGUCAACAGGAGUUUAAAUAUGGACGGGACAGUUAUGUGGCAGCUCUUCCCUGGCUCAUUCACCUCUUGCCUUUCAUUUGUGAAAGGAAGAAAGAAGAAAGAGGGUCAAUGUGCAACUGAAGCUACUGAUUGUGCUGUGUGAUGAGCAUCAAUCCAUGCUUUGAGGGGGAUGAAUCAGCACAGCCCUGCCUGCACUGCGUUGGGAACAGAAGUUGCAUCCAGAAUUUUUGCAUCAUUCUGGACCAAAAAGCCAUUCCCUCCAUGAUGAAGACCACUGAUGCAGCCUUCCACUACAUCAUGAGUAAAACAACUACAGAACUAAAUACCAGGUUGGAACGUAUUUAAGAAAAAUGAAAUGUCUUUUGAAUUGAAAUGUCUGUUUUGUUAUGGAAAAAUCUUUAGUAUUGUAAAGGAUAAGCAUUUCUGCCUGCCAGUAAGGUAAUUGCAGUGUAUUUUAAUGUUCAAGUUUUGAGUAGGGUGGCUAAUUUAUUUUAACUCUCAUUUGAUUUAUUAAAGACCUUAUAAUAAGUGGUUUUCAUGUCACUGCGCUGUGGUAUAAGAUAACUUUCAUUAUUCCAUACUGUAUUCUGUUUUCUAAUUGUAGCUGAGGGAUUUAAAUAAGCAGUGUUAAAUGCAAAGUGUUGUGUGUAUCAAUGUAAAUAUUAAAUGUGAUGUACUUUAAUAAAAAGAGGUUUUGCAAUAUUUCUUGUCAUUUGUCUUUUAUAUAAACAACCCAUUAGCAACAAAAGUGGCUAUUAAUCAGUAUUUUAACACUUAACAUUGUUGAAUUCACAUUACACUGGUGUUGACUUUAAAUUAGAAGUGUUAAUUUUUAACACUGUAUUUCUGUGCCAACACCAGUGUAGUGUGGAAACAACAAUGAAUAGUGUUGAACAAAGUGUAAAAUUUAACAAUAUUGAGUGUUAAAUUAACAUAUAAUGAGUGUUGUUAAAUUAACACUACACUUUUGACUAAAUUAACACAGUGUAGUGUGGACACAUAUACACACUUUUCCAGUGUUAAAUUUGAC